rnacentral:tRNA from 1 species
AAGGAUUUAAGUUAAAUUAAACUUGGAGUCUUCAAAGCUCCCCAUAAAGAACUUUCCUUUAAGCCUUA